GACGAACGCUGGCGGCGUGCCUAAUACAUGCAAGUAGAACGCUGAAGGAGGAGCUUGCUUCUCUGGAUGAGUUGCGAACGGGUGAGUAACGCGUAGGUAACCUGCCUGGUAGCGGGGGAUAACUAUUGGAAACGAUAGCUAAUACCGCAUAAGAGUAGAUGUUGCAUGACAUUUGCUUAAAAGGUGCAAUUGCAUCACUACCAGAUGGACCUGCGUUGUAUUAGCUAGUUGGUGGGGUAACGGCUCACCAAGGCGACGAUACAUAGCCGACCUGAGAGGGUGAUCGGCCACACUGGGACUGAGACACGGCCCAGACUCCUACGGGAGGCAGCAGUAGGGAAUCUUCGGCAAUGGACGGAAGUCUGACCGAGCAACGCCGCGUGAGUGAAGAAGGUUUUCGGAUCGUAAAGCUCUGUUGUAAGAGAAGAACGAGUGUGAGAGUGGAAAGUUCACACU
rnacentral:rRNA from 1 species